UUUGAUCUUGGUCAGAAAUGGUAUAAUUGGGUUUAUAAAACACCGACAAAUUAGUACAAGGGUUUUCUCCACAUGAGCUCUGUAUUCGGCACACUUUAAAAUGUCUAAGGUGAUCAUUAAUCCAAAUGGCUGUAUGUAAUCAACCCAGUCUAAGUUUGUCUGUGGUUGGAGAUUCAAGAAUUCUCGACAAAACUAAUUUCUAUUCAGUUUUACCCUGCUAUUUUAAGCGUCGAUAAAUAUGUUUUCUGCAUUUAGGUGAAUAACCACACCCAAUAGCUACAUAUUUGUAAAUAAUCGCUCCACGUGCUAGCGGAUGUCAACAAUCAAGAUGCUUUCGUUUCCAGGGUCGCCAAAUGGCGCCAAGGAAACAGAGCGACCUCCAAUUGUACCCAGUUUUCAGGGCUUGGCACUGAAACCUCAAAUUCCUGAUAAAGAUUCCAUCGACGUUCCUUCAGUACAAUACAUCAGUGGGAAAACUGAAGAGGAAUUUCAAAACUUUUUCAAGAAAGUGGCAUCCAUAAGAAAUGACGAAAAACAAAAUAAUGGAAAGAAACAGAAUAUGAUUAACUGGCUGAUGAAAAACAAAAAUAAUUACUGGGCAAAAAUCCAGGAGAGGAGAAAAUACAACCAAUGGCUGCGGCAGUUCACCGCGGACAGUACGUGUGGCCAGGCAGAGAUUCCACCAGUAUGGCCGAACUUCCGGGUCAUUGGUGGAAGAACGAGUAUACCAGGUAGUUGGCCGUGGAUGGAUGACCAAUCAACCACCUUUUUUGGAAGAAGAUAAACCUCACAUUGCAAGGAUCGGCGCCUGUUCGCCAAUAUUUUUAUUCUCUGCCAUACAGGAUGACCAAUCAACCACCUUUUUUGGAUAAGUAAUGUACCGAACGUUUAACAGACAUCAUGUAUCCUUAUUAUUCGACAUAAUCGGAGAGCACUGGUGUGCAGGAACUCUCAUUUCAGACCAGUGGAUAGUCACAGCUCGUCAUUGCUUUGAUUAUCCAUUUAACGACACCCGCGAUUGGAUAGUUCGCCUGGGUAAGUUUGACCUCUCACACGAAGAAGACACAGAAGAGCAAUUUGCCGUCAAAACCAUCAUCGUCACCCUCGGUAUAAUCCAAAAAACUUUGACAAUGACAUCGCUCUCAUUCAACUGGAUCGGCCAGUUGAGUACACAGCGUUUAUUUUGCCUAUCUGCUUGGGGUCCCAGCAUUCACAGGAUUCAGACGAUUGUGUCGUCACAGGAUGGGGUAAAGUCU